UACGUAGGGUGCAAGCGUUGUCCGGAAUUAUUGGGCGUAAAGAGCUCGUAGGCGGUUUGUCGCGUCUGCUGUGAAAACUCGGGGCUUAACUCCGGGCCUGCAGUGGGUACGGGCAGGCUAGGGUUCGGUAGGGGAGAUCGGAAUUCCUGGUGUAGCGGUGAAAUGCGCAGAUAUCAGGAGGAACACCGGUGGCGAAGGCGGAUCUCUGGGCCGAUACUGACGCUGAGGAGCGAAAGCGUGGGGAGCGAACAGG
rnacentral:rRNA from 1 species